UUAAUUCAUUAUCGACAGUCGGCGUUCAACAGAGGAGCCAAAGGAUUACGCGAGUUGCAUCUAUUUGGUGUGACCGGCUGCUUGUUUUCAUUCCGGAGAUUCUUUCUCCCUCAGACUUGGACCUUUUUUAACCAUUGCAAAACCAGACCGAAGCUCUAUUGUCCGAAUGGUCGUUUCAACUGUUGGCUGGGCUGAUGGCGGAUAAAGGAUUCCUCCGAUAGCUGAUUGCGGCAAACGAAGAUGGGGUUACCACAGCGAGCAGGAUGCCUAGACCUGAUGGUAGAGCGGAGAAUGGGAAGCGGCGACCUGACAGGAGCUGAGAUGAUAGAGCUGGAUAAAGAAGGACGCGGCAACUUCACAUGUCUUCACUACAAAAUUUAAAAUGCUAUUAGAUUAUUAAUGAUAAUCUUGAAUCUAUAAUUUACCUUAUUAGUAAGUUUAUUUAUUUUUUAUUUAGCCUUGUUGUGCAAGCACUGUCGAGC